rnacentral:lncRNA from 1 species
GUCCCCCUCCUCCUUAAAUUAUAAGCUUACCCUAUUGGACAUGAUGUGGUGUCUCACUGGUUCUGGUUUGCAUUUCCUUGAUAACUAUUCAUGUCAAACAGGCAUCUUUUCGGGUGCAUAUUGGCCAUUUGCUUAUCUUUUUUGGAAAAAUAGCUGUUCAAAUUCUUUCUCAUUUUUUAAAUUGGGUUUGUUUUUUUGUGGGUUUGGGUGUAGAUUUUGUUGUGGUGAUUGUUGAGUUGUUAAGUAUUCUUUUCUUUUAAUUCUGGAUAUUAGUCUCUUAUCAGAAUAAAGGUUUGCAAAUAUUUUCUCCCAUUCUUUGGAUUAUCAUCUCACUUUCUUAGUGAUGUCCUUUACAGAAGUUUAAAAUUGUGGUCAAGUUCAACUGCUUAUGCUUAUGUUCUUGGUGUCAUAUCUAAGAAGCCAUUACCCUAUCCAAGGUAAUGAGGUGUUAACAACAGUGUUUUCU